GACGAACGCUGGCGGCGUGCUUAACACAUGCAAGUCGAACGGAAAGGCCCUGCUUUUGUGGGGUGCUCGGGUGGCGAACGGGUGAGUAACACGUGAGUAACCUGCCCUUGACUUUGGGAUAACUUCAGGAAAAUGGGGCUAAUACCAGCUAGGAGCUUCUGCUGCCUGGUGGGGGUUGGAAAGUUUCGGCGGGUGGGGAUGGACUCGCGGCUUAUCAGCUUGUUGGUGGGGUAGUGGCUUACCAAGGCUUUGACGGGUAGCCGGCCUGAGAGGGUGACCGGCGACCUUGGGACUGAGAUACGGCCCAGACUCCUACGGGAGGCAGCAGUGGGGAAUAUUGCACAAUGGGCGGAAGCCUGAUGCAGCAACGCCGCGUGCGGGAUGACGGCCUUCGGGUUGUAAACCGCUUUCGCCUGAGACGAAGCGUGAGUGACGGUAAUGGGUAAAGAAGCACCGGCUAACUACGUG
rnacentral:rRNA from 1 species